rnacentral:siRNA from 1 species
AGGUUGGGAGAAGAUGAAAAAGUG